rnacentral:rRNA from 1 species
AGGACGAACGCUGGCGGCGUGCUUAACACAUGCAAGUCGAGCGGUAAGGCCUUUCGGGGUACACGAGCGGCGAACGGGUGAGUAACACGUGGGUGAUCUGCCCUGCACUUCGGGAUAAGCCUGGGAAACUGGGUCUAAUACCGGAUAUGACCUCCUAUCGCAUGGUGGGUGGUGGAAAGAUUUAUCGGUGCAGGAUGGGCCCGCGGCCUAUCAGCUUGUUGGUGGGUAAUGGCCUACCAAGGCGACGACGGGUAGCCGACCUGAGAGGGUGACCGGCCACACUGGGACUGAGACACGGCCCAGACUCCUACGGGAGGCAGCAGUGGGAAUAUUGCACAAGUGGGACGAAAGCCUGAUGACAGCCGACGCCGCGGUGGAAGGGAUGACGACGGCCCGUUUACGGGUUACGUAAAACCUUCUUUACGACGCGAGGACGAAGCGACGAAGUGACCGGUACCGUGACAGAAGAACGACGACCGACUAACCGUACGUACGACCGA